rnacentral:rRNA from 1 species
GACGAACGCUGGCGGCGUGCUUAACACAUGCAAGUCGAACGGAAAGGCCCUGCUUUUGUGGGGUGCUCGAGUGGCGAACGGGUGAGUAACACGUGAGUAACCUGCCCUUGACUUUGGGAUAACUUCAGGAAACUGGGGCUAAUACCGGAUAGGAGCUCCUGCUGCAUGGUGGGGGUUGGAAAGUUUCGGCGGUUGGGGAUGGACUCGCGGCUUAUCAGCUUGUUGGUGGGGUAGUGGCUUACCAAGGCUUUGACGGGUAGCCGGCCUGAGAGGGUGACCGGCGACAUUGGGACUGAGAUACGGCCCAGAAGCCUACGGGAGGCAGCAGUGGGGAAUAUUGCACAAUGGGCGGAAGCCUGAUGCAGCAACGCCGCGUGCGGGAUGACGGCCUUCGGGUUGUAAACCGCUUUCGCAUGUGACGAAGCGUGAGUGACGGUAAUGGGUAAAGAAGCACCGGCUAACUACGUG